GACUCAGCAGCUCACUGCCCGCUCUGCUUGUCCCUUUAACCGGAUUUCUUGCUCCAGUGGAGCUGUUCCCAGCCUGGCUGAAGCUCACAUGCCCGAUCUUGAAGCGAGCGAGAGCGCAAUUAUGCAGCAGGUGUAACGCCAGCUCGGGCGUGCGUCAGGCGCCGUGAGCUGGCAAAUCAUCGCUGGCGCUGCCACGGGGAGAAGAAGAGCAUCAGAUGCAGUUACAGCUCUCUACCUGGAGCAAUCAAACAUCAUCUCAGCUACUCUGGGAAAAGGUGUGCAAAAGGUCUGCUCCAUGCUCUGGGUGUCUGAGAAAUCAACACAGAACACAUCUCAGACUCUGCAUGGUAUCUUCACUCCUCCACAUGAACAAGAACAGAACUGACAAAAUUCUUCAGCUGAAACAUCUGAGGAAAGACAUCUCAUCAAAGAUGGACGUUUCCAUGGAAAUAUGUUUCGGAUGAAAUUUUUUGAGUCUUUCACAGAUAAAAUAUAAAUAACUGG